UCAGCCCGAGGGUCCCCUCCCGGGUGGCCGCUGAGUCCUGGAGCGAGCGGGCGGGACGGUGGGGUCCGUGUCCUUGCGAAGCGCGGCUCCGUUCCUAACCCUCCCCCGCCGCCUUCGCCCCUCUUGGGCUCUGACAGGACACUCGUGGCACCGUUUGAAGCGUGUUUGUGGCCGUGGCAGCGACCACCGCUUUGUGCAUCACCUCAUGCCAAGUGAUCAGCCUGAGGUGCGGCCGCCAUUUGCACGUAGGGCUGAGUGCGCUGAUGGAGAAGAUUGGGGUGUCCAGCGCGAUCUGAUAUGGGCAGUGUCCAGAGGAUUGGCAUCAAUCCUGUUAGUACUUAAUACAGGUUUUAAUUUUCUGUACACAAUGGAUUUGCUGCUGCCACCAGUAAAUCUACAGUAACUCUUCUGGAGCCAACGUAAUCACUUGAGGAAGGAAGAUAUCUGGGCCUAUGGGUCCGGCUGAAGAGAUGAUGUUUGCUGCAGGAAAUAGCAGUGUAAUGUGGCAUGGGUAAACGAGGCUAAUUAUGAUGGGUUUAGGUCUGAUCCUCCACCCACAGAUGGAACAAUACAAACCACAUCAUCCACUGCAAGUUUUAUAGGAGUUUAAGACUGAGAGAAGGGCCCGAAGUGUAAAUCUCCACCUUUUAGGAGAGUGCAUCCUGUGUAAUACAGACCUAAACUAAAACACAAGGGCCAGAGCAUCUGAAUCUAUGGCAAAAUGAGGCCUUGCCACAGGCACAGACUGAGCCAUGAUGAAAUGAGAUGAGAUGUUCAGUGCCAUUUCUAUACACAAACUACAGCCAAGAAUCACCCCUAGACCAGGCUCCCAUUUCCAUCUGAGUUCCCAGACCUGCCCAAUUGGUCAGCCCCAGCCAAGAGUAUCAGUGUGUGGGCAAAUAUCUGACUUUUUAACAGAGAGAUCAGAUGCUGGAGGGUUCUGAGGAACACAGAAGGAGGAAUUAGCCCCUGGAUCCCCUCAGUCCAGGAGAAGGGGCAAGGUGACCUCUGGUGGCCUCUGUUUUAUGUGGUUCCAUAAGGUCAAAUCAACACAGUUUCCAUUUUCUUUGGUUCUUCCAGCAAGAUGAAAGCGUGUGGAUGUUUCUGCCUGCGUGCAUAUGCACAAGCUCAGGGAUUACAAAUUACCCUCCUCUUUAAAGCUGAGAAUCAUCAGUUUCAUUAUAAAAGACUCUGGAGGCCAUUGUGCGAGUUGAAAGCCAGUUGGAUUUUCCUAUUCAAAACAGAUCCCAGUGGGGUCAUGGAGACUUCAAGUAAUCAGUCAUUGAUUGGAGUCCAGAAUUAUUUGGAGAAGGCAGUGCAGAACCUGAAGCCCGUUGCUCCUGUCAAGUUCCACAUCUCCAGCCGCACAGAUGCUGGUGUCCAUGCACUCUGCAACUCUGCUCACCUCGACAUCCAGAGGGCUCCAGGGAAGCCAGCUUUUGAAGAGAAACAGCUCGUCUAUGGUCUUAAUCGCCACCUGAAGCCUGAGCCAAUCUGCAUUCUGAAUGCCUACCGGGUGUCCAGCAGCUUCCACGCGCGCUUCUCUGCACUGUCAAGAACCUACAUCUAUCGGCUGCUGAUGGGCUGCUCUCAUCAUUCUGAAAUACCAGUGUUUGAAAGGGAUCUCUGCUGGGCUCCUGUGGGAGGUUACCUGAAUGUUCCUGCCAUGCAGGAGGCAGCUCAGUUCCUGGUGGGAACCCACGACUUCAGCACCUUUCGCUCACUUAACUCUGAAACACCUUUUCAGAAUCCAGUCAGAACCAUCUUCCAGGUGGACAUCCAACCCUCUUCUGGUUUCCUGUCCCACCACUAUGAACACAGGGGACUGGAGUUCUGGGAGCUGAAGUUCAGGAGCAGAUCAUUUCUUUACCGACAGUAAUGCUCUCUGAGCUCCCUGACAGUGAGUGUCUGGCUGUGAGCAGGGGAAGAACAACAACGUGCUUGAGAAGGGCUUGAUAUACAGCAGGGAUUUGCUCCAUCGGAUGCUCUUGUGACAAGGAGAAAAUGCAGAGAGAAGCAAGAGCCCCUACAUAGUUGCUUAUGUGUUAAGAACCUGUGAGCUCAGCUCUCCCAGCAUGUAUGUGAGCUUCCUGCCACAGACGGAUGUGUGGGUGCUGCUGUUGUUUCUGAAAUGGAAACCAUCCCCUGCUCAGCUUCACACGUGAGGUGAGAACAAGCCUUGCUCCAAGGUAGUGCUGUGUGGCUGGAGGCCACUGUGUUGCAGGUCCUCGUCUUAGUCUUACAAAUGUCUUUAGUUGUCCCUUCCCUACCACCAGCUUUGCUCACUAGAAGAUGCUGUGCCACUGCUCCUUGCAGACAGGCUUAGCAAAUCACCCCCUUGUGAUGGACCCGAGGUAGUCCACACAAUUCCUGCUUAAAGGGGAAGGAAAACCUUUCCUGUGCAGGCUGUGGGGUGACUAUGACAGGGACUAAGGGAGUGUGAUAAAGGUGAAACAGGGGAGACUGAGAUGAGCUCUGAGGCAGAAGCUCUUCCCUGUGAGGG